CAGGGAUUGCCUUAGUAACGGCGAGUGAAGCGGCAAUAGCUCAAAUUUGAAAUCUGGCUCUUUUAGAGUCCGAGUUGUAAUUUGCAGAGGGCGCUUUGGCAUUGGCAGCGGUCCAAGUUCCUUGGAACAGGACGUCACAGAGGGUGAGAAUCCCGUACGUGGUCGCUAGCCUUUGCCGUGUAAAGCCCCUUCGACGAGUCGAGUUGUUUGGGAAUGCAGCUCUAAAUGGGAGGUAAAUUUCUUCUAAAGCUAAAUACUGGCCAGAGACCGAUAGCGCACAAGUAGAGUGAUCGAAAGAUGAAAAGCACUUUGGAAAGAGAGUCAAAUAGCACGUGAAAUUGUUGAAAGGGAAGCGCUUGCAGCCAGACUUGCCUGUAGUUGCUUAUCUGGACUUUUGUCCAGUGCACUCUUCUGCGGGCAGGCCAGCAUCAGUUUGGGCGGUUGGAUAAAGGUCUCUGUCAUGUACCUCUCUUCGGGGAGGCCUUAUAGGGGAGACGACAUGCAACCAGCCUGGACUGAGGUCCGCGCAUCUGCUAGGAUGCUGGCGUAAUGGCUGUAAGCGGCCCGUCUUGAAACACGGACCAAGGAGUCUAACAUCUAUGCGAGUGUUUGGGUGUCAAGCCCAGACGCGUAAUGAAAGUGAACGGAGGUGGGAACCCUUUGGGUGCACCAUCGACCGAUCCUGAUGUCUUCGGAAGGAUUUGAGUAAGAGCAUGGCUGUUGGGACCCGAAAGAUGGUGAACUAUGCUUGAAUAGGGUGAAGCCAGAGGAAACUCUGGUGGAGGCUCGCAGCGGUUCUGACGUGCAAAUCGAUCGUCAAAUUUGGGCAUAGGGGCGAAAGACUAAUCGAACUAUCUAGUAGCUGGUUCCUGCCGAAUUCUCCCCUCCGAGGAA
rnacentral:rRNA from 1 species